rnacentral:misc_RNA from 1 species
GAAGUCGUUACUCCAACCCUUGUGGAGGAGGACGCCGAAGGUGGGGCUAAUGACUGGGGUGAAGUCGUAACAAGGUAGCCGUACCGGAAGGUGCGGCUGGAUCACCUCCUAACAGGGAGACAACAAAAUGUAAAUAUUAAUUUUGUCACCUUAGGUCGAUCGGUAUCUCAGAUUCUUAUUAUUUAAGAAUUUCAGUUUCUAAGUUUUUUCUAGGUCACACCCAUCACUUUUUCCUGGGCCAUUAGCUCAGGUGGUUAGAGCGCACCCCUGAUAAGGGUGAGGUCCCUGGUUCAAGUCCAGGAUGGCCCAUAUCUCUAUGUUGGGGGUAUAGCUCAGUUGGUAGAGCGCCUGCUUUGCAAGCAGGAUGUCAGCGGUUCGAGUCCGCUUACCUCCACUGAAUACCACCUCUUACAUAUAGUUGAAGUGGGAAAUUGUUUUGAGUCGUGUCCUAAUUUGCUCUGAGCGAAUCUAGCUUCCUAUUUUAUCCAAGAAAUAAGAUGCUGGACUCAUUGAAUUUUUAUUCAUUGUUUUCAGAGAACCUUGACAACUGCAUAGAUUAUUUUUAAAGACAAUAAGCAUCUUUAAUGAUGCAGAUUUAUUAUUUGUGCGAAUGCAUUAAAUAACAAUUCUAUUAAGCUGAUGCUUCAAUUAUUGAAGUUAUUGGUCAAGCUACAAAGGGCUCACGGAGGAUACCUAGGCACACAGAGGCGAUGAA